UGGUUCUGGCACCGAUGAAGAACGCAGCGAAAUGCGAUAAGUAAUGUGAAUUGCAGAAUUCCGCGAAUCAUCAAAUCUUUGAACGCACAUUGCGCCCGCUAGUACUCUAGCGGGCAUGCCUGUUCGAGCGUCAUUUCGACCAUCAAGCCUUAAUUGCUUGUGUUGGAGCACUAUAAGCGAAAGCUGUAGGCUCUGAAAUAUAGCGGCGGACCUGUUGCGAUCCCGAACGUAGUAAAUAUCAGCUCGUUUAGGGUAUUCAACUGGUAAUUUCUAGCCGUUAAACCCCCAAAUUUUACAUGGUUGACCUCGGAUCAGGUAGGAAUACCCGCUGA
rnacentral:misc_RNA from 1 species